rnacentral:rRNA from 1 species
AUUGAACGCUGGCGGCAUGCCUUACACAUGCAAGUCGAACGGCAGCACGGGUGCUUGCACCUGGUGGCGAGUGGCGAACGGGUGAGUAAUACAUCGGAGCGUACCUUAUCGUGGGGGAUAACGCAGCGAAAGCUGUGCUAAUACCGCAUACGCCCUGAGGGGGAAAGCGGGGGAUCGCAAGACCUCGCGCGAUUAGAGCGGCCGAUGCCUGAUUAGCUUGUUGGUGGGGUAAAAGCCCACCAAGGCGACGAUCAGUAGCUGGUCUGAGAGGACGAUCAGCCACACUGGGACUGAGAAACGGCCCAGACUCCUACGGGAGGCAGCAGUGGGGAAUUUUGGACAAUGGGGGCAACCCUGAUCCAGCAAUGCCGCGUGAGUGAAGAAGGCCUUCGGGUUGUAAAGCUCUUUUGUCAGGGAAGAAACACCGGCUCUAACACAGUCCGGGAAUGACGGUACCUGAAGAAUAAGCACCGGCUAACUACGUGCCAGCCGCCGCAGUAA